rnacentral:rRNA from 1 species
GGAGAAUCAGAGGAUGAUAAGUACAUGCCUCUCUCCAAAGACGAAGUGAGCCUUGGGGACGAAGAAUUCACCAUGUCUGAGGACCCCGUCGAGCAGGAGCGCUUCAAGUGCCGGCUUAUAGCCACUACAAAAAGCCUGAAGAAAAAGCAACAACAGCUUCAAGCUGAUCAAGAUCUACUAACUAACAGAUGGACCGAAGUCCUGGCUGCUGAGGAAUACAGACUCGAGCGCCCUAGCAAAAGCUACCCAAAGCGCAGGUUGCUACCCCAGCUCAAGGAGGAGGCUUUAACACCCAUGCUACCAGCGCAUGAUGCGGCUGAC